UACGUAGGGCGCGAGCGUUGUCCGGAAUUAUUGGGCGUAAAGAGCUCGUAGGCGGCUUGUCACGUCGGGUGUGAAAGACCGGGGCUUAACUCCGUUCUGCAUUCGAUACGGGCUAGCUAGAGUGUGGUAGGGGAGAUCGGAAUUCCUGGUGUAGCGGUGAAAUGCGCAGAUAUCAGGAGGAACACCGGUGGCGAAGGCGGAUCUCUGGGCCAUUACUGACGCUGAGGAGCGAAAGCGUGGGGAGCGAACAG
rnacentral:rRNA from 1 species